rnacentral:lncRNA from 1 species
GGGGAAAAGGAACUUUUUUUUUUUUGAAACUGAACCGGCAACAGAGCUUGCUCUUGUAUUAAAAAAGAGAGAGCCUACAAAGACAUGAUACAAACAUAUACAAAAGUGUACAAAUAGGGCAAAAGCCCGACACGUCCCCUCUGGUGGCCUCAAAUCACACGGGCAAUAAUAGAUUGGAGAUAUGCUUUACUCCCACCAUUGCCCACAAGCCAGCCUCUUCCUUGAUCUUCCGGAGGAGAUGCAUUGGUGCGGAUUCUCUGUGCUCAAAGAUUCAUGCAUUUCUUUCAUUCCACACCUCCCAACAAAUAAAGACGAUCAUGGGGCAGUCCUUGCCUCGCCGUCGAAGGUGUCUGUCUAAGUUUUCCCACCAAAUUUGUACAGAGUAUCCUAGCACUCAAGUGGAAGGCGCAGGUUGUUGCCUAGCCAUAUUGCAAUGCCCUCCCAAAUACACCUAGUGUAAUAACAAUCUUG